rnacentral:rRNA from 1 species
AACGAACGCUGGCGGCGCGUCUUAAGCAUGCAAGUCGAACGGCAAGAGAGGAGCUUGCUUCUCUCCUAGAGUGGCGGACUGGUGAGGAACACGUGGGUAAUCUACCCUUAAGUUGGGGAUAGCUGCUAGAAAUAGCAGGUAAUACCGAAUACACUCAAAUUUUCACAAGAAGAAUUGAGGAAAGAGGCUACGGCCUCGCUUGAGGAUGAGCUUGCGUCCCAUUAGCUAGUUGGUGAGGUAAAGGCCCACCAAGGCAACGAUGGGUAUCCGGCCUGAGAGGGUGAUCGGACACAUUGGGACUGAGAUACGGCCCAAACUCCUACGGGAGGCAGCAGCUAAGAAUAUUCCGCAAUGGACGAAAGUCUGACGGAGCGACGCCGCGUGGAUGAAGAAGGCUGAAAAGUUGUAAAAUCCUUUUGUUGAUGAAGAAUAAGGAUAAGAGGGAAUGCUUAUCUGAUGACGGUAAUCAGCGAAUAAGCCCCGGCUAAUUACGUGCCAGCAGCCGCGGUAACACGUAAGGGGCGAGCGUUGUUCGGAAUUAUUGGGCGUAAAGGGCAUGCAGGCGGUUGUGUAAGCCUGAUGUGAAAUCCUAGAGCUUAACUCUAGAAUAGCAUUGGGUACUGCACAACUUGAAUUACGGAAGGGAAACUGGAAUUCCAAGUGUAGGGGUGGAAUCUGUAGAUAUUUGGAAGAACACCGGUGGCGAAGGCGGGUUUCUGGCCGAUAAUUGACGCUGAGAUGCGAAAGUGUGGGGAUCAAACAGGAUUAGAUACCCUGGUAGUCCACACCGUAAACGAUGUACACUAGGUGUUGGGGUACGAACUUCAGUGCCAAAGCAAACGCGUUAAGUGUACCGCCUGGGGAGUAUGCCCGCAAGGGUGAAUCUCAAAGGAAUUGACUGGGGCCCGCACAAGCGGUGGAGCAUGUGGUUUAAUUCGAUGGUACGCGAGGAACUUACCUGGGUUUGACAUCUAGUGGAAUGUCUUACAGAUAAGGCAGUGUAGCAAUACACCGCUAGACGGGUGCUGCAUGGCUGUCGUCAGCUCGUGCGGUGAGGUGUGGGGUUAAGUCCGCACCGAGCGCACCCCUUACUGCAGUUACUAACGGAAUGCCUGAGGACUUUGGCGGAACUGCCG